CAAACGGCCCUCUUUAGGGCCACAUUUAUUUGAUGUUGAUGCGGU
rfam:Bursaphelenchus xylophilus, Ka4C1 (inbred line), WGS project CADV01000000 data, contig: contig18439